rnacentral:rRNA from 1 species
UACGUAGGGGGCAAGCGUUGUCCGGAUUUAUUGGGCGUAAAGAGCGUGUAGGCGGCUUUACAGGUCCGUUGUGAAAACUCGAGGCUCAACCUCGAGACGCCGGUGGAAACCGUAAAGCUAGAGUCCGGAAGAGGAGAGUGGAAUUCCUGGUGUAGCGGUGAAAUGCGCAGAUAUCAGGAGGAACACCCGUGACGAAAGCGGCUCUCUGGGACGGUACUGACGCUGAGACGCGAAAGCGUGGGGAGCAAACAGG